AUCAGUCAGUCAAAUCUAUAGCAGCAUCAAUCAGUCAAAUCUAUAGCAGUAUCAUCAUUCAGUAAAAUCUAUAGCAGCAUCAGUCAUCAGUCAAAUCUAUAGCAGCAUCAAUCAGUCAAAUCUAUAGCAGUAUCAUCAUUCAGUAAAAUCUAUAGCAGCAUCAGUCAUCAAAUCUAUAGCAGCAUCAGUCAGUCAAUUGCUUCCCCUUGUACAGUUAUUGUCCAAUUCUUAUAAAAUUUGGCACUUAAGUUAGCUGGCUUAUUGGUCUGAAUUACUACUCUGGAAUUGCUAUACUGUGGAAUGACAGUGAAAUUUAUGGGAGUCAAAGUUCAUGUGCAAGCUAAGUUUUACUAGAACAAAUGAAUUACUGAUGUUGACAAAUUGAAAAGCUGGUUUAGAAAAAGUUAAUUGAGCUCUUUUAGUAUUAGUUGAAUUUGACAAUGGAUAUUUUUUUUACAAAAGAUUUUUGAUAAGAUAAAAAAGG